UGCUCGAAAGAGAGCCGUAACACAGGUGCUGCAUUGGCUGUCGUCAGCUCGUGUCGUGAGAUGUUGGGUUAAGUCCCGCAACGAGCGCAACCCUUGUCACUAGUUGCCAUCAUUUUAGUUGGGCACUCUAGUGAGACUGCCGGUGACAAACCGGAGGAAGGUGGGGAUGACGUCAAGUCCUCAUGGCCCUUAUGGGUAGGGCUUCACACGUCAUACAAUGGUCGGUACAGAGGGUUGCCAAGCCGCGAGGUGGAGCCAAUCCCUUAAAGCCGAUCGUAGUCCGGAUCGUAGUCUGCAACUCGACUACGUGAAGUCGGAAUCGCUAGUAAUCGCAGAUCAGCAUGCUGCGGUGAAUACGUUCCCGGGUCUU
rnacentral:rRNA from 1 species